CCUACGGGGGGCAGCAGUCGAGAAUCAUUCACAAUGGGGGAAACCCUGAUGGUGCGACGCCGCGUGGGGGAAUGAAGGUCUUCGGAUGGUAAACCCCUGUCAUGUGGGAGCAAAUUAAAAAGAUAGUACCACAAGAGGAAGAGACGGCUAACUCUGUGCCAGCAGCCGCGGUAAUACAGAGGUCUCAAGCGUUGUUCGGAAUCACUGGGCGUAAAGCGUGCGUAGGCUGUUUCGUAAGUCGUGUGUGAAAGGCGCGGGCUCAACCCGCGGACGGCACAUGAUACUGCGAGACUAGAGUAAUGGAGGGGGAAGCGGAAUUCUCGGUGUAGCAGUGAAAUGCGUAGAUAUCGAGAGGAACACUCGUGGCGAAGGCGGGUUCCUGGACAUUAACUGACGCUGAGGCACGAAGGCCAGGGGAGCGAAAGGGAUUAGAUACCCCAGUAGUC
rnacentral:rRNA from 1 species